rnacentral:tRNA from 1 species
GCGAGCGUGGCGAAACUGGUAGACGCACUGGAUUUAGGAUCCAGCGCCGCAAGGCGUGGGGGUUCGACUCCCCCCGCUCGCA